rnacentral:lncRNA from 11 species
AUGUCCGGCCUUCAGGUAGGCUUCUCUUCUCAGCUCCUGUUCACUACCCAAUGGUUCCUUUGGCCACUAGAAAGGUAUGUUGGGACCCCAAUGCCCAGUUCCUUCCAGCAGGCAUCACACACAAAUUCACCUGCCAGCUCCACUUCUGACCCAGGAGCCUUUCUAUGGGUGCCAGGGGCCCUUGUUUCCCUUUUUUUCUUGACAGGUGAAGGAACACAUACACCAUCUUUGCCAGCUGGUCUACAGUCCUUCCUCUGCAGAGGUCAGGCUGGCAGUGGAUUACGUGGCCCGCAAGCAUUUGAAGAUGGCUAUGGACCACUUUCUGGGGUCCAAUGGAAGGCAAGAGUGAUGGGGGCCAUCGACGGGAUCGUCAGCCACAUCAGAGAUAGCACUCGCCUGGAGGCAUGGUUCCUGGAGCUUCUGCUUGCCGUGGUGACCAACUUCAUCGAGGUCACAAGGCCUGAGUUGGAGUCACCCAGCAGGAACCGGAGCAGCAGCUACAUUCCUUCAGAGUAAGGAGAAGUUGGGGAACUGGUGAUGAUUAUGAUAGUGCUGGUGAAGAGGGUGGCCUGGGUGUCCUUAAUGAAACUUCCAAGAAGAUGCUAGAAGAACCCAGCAUCUGCCCUGAGAGAAUGCCCCUCCAGUUGCAGUUAGGAGCCAAGGACCGGAGGAAGUUUAAGGAAGAGGCCCAGCUUGUUCUCUCAGGCUGAGUUCCCUCAUGGGGGUCUUUUUUUGUCUCUCUGGUCUUCCAGGAGCCUCCUACUUGAGCUCCUAUUUUCCACCUGGGAGGCAGAAGCGCCGCUGGAGCAUUCGGCCGGUGUGAUGGCCUUCUACAUCCAGGUGAGGAGGAUUGGUCAGCCUGGGUUGGAAGGGGUCUUAGGACAGGGCUGGGGAGGCGAAUAGAUGAGAGGCAGUGCUUCCCUUCCUGGCUCUAGCCCUUCCUGCUUCUCUUCUUCUCUUUCAGCUGCAGCACAUCGGCCAGCGCCUUCACUCCCCGGAGAAGACCGGGGUGCUGCUGACAUCUUGGCUAGAACAUCGCAGAGUGGCUGUCCAACAGUGGAGCAGGCAGGGCCUUCUCCUUCCUGCAAGACCUACAGGGAGGUAAGUCAGACAUAGCCCUGUCUUCCAUGAACUCUUUUCAUUGCCUCAGUUUUUUGUAGAAGGCCAGAAAGAGGUGCCCACAUCUCCCCGUGUGGGCCCUAAAAACACAGGAGACCCCUGUGGCUCUUCCAAGGUAAGCCCUGGGCUCCCAUUUCCUCCUGGGGUUCCCUCAAUCACUAUCGAGGGCCAUGGAUUCUCCACAUCCCCCAAGGGAAGCCACGCCCCAAGUCAGAAGGGGGUCUGCAGAGGAGAAGGAGGCUGCCUUCUCCCUUUGGGUCCCAUUUUAAAUAUGAGAUGUCCCUUUGGGGGUUGGAGGUCCAAGUCCCAAGGGAGGGGUGUAUAUACAGAUUCAGUAGGAGGAGUGGAUUGUGAGGGAGAGGGGAAUUUACAUGUUGGAGGUGGUUGGCUGGUGGAGGGUUAGAAGGAGAGAGGAAAUUUGCGUAUGGGUGCUGAUUGGCUGAGCUGAGCCUGCACAAAGAAAGUGCCAGCCA